CAAUAGCGUAUAUUAAAGUUGUUGCAGUUAAAAAGCUCGUAGUUGGAUUUCUGGUUGAAGCGACCGGUCGGGCGUUGAUUCGUCUGCACUGGAGUCGGUUUUGGCCAUCCUCUAGGAAAGUGCGUCUGGUAUUAAGUUAUCGGGCGUAUGAUCCUGGUCUUUUACUGUGAAAAAAUUAGAGUGUUUAAAGCAGGCCUUCGCCUUGAAUACAUUAGCAUGGAAUAAUAAGAUAGGACUUUGGUCUAUUUUGUUGGUUUGCAGACCGAAGUAAUGAUUAAUAGGGAUAGUUGGGGGUAUUCGUAUUCCGUUGUCAGAGGUGAAAUUCUUGGAUUUACGGAAGACGAACUACUGCGAAAGCAUUUACCAAGGAUGUUUUCAUUAA
rnacentral:rRNA from 1 species